GGUUAAGUCCCGCAACGAGCGCAACCCUUGCCAUUAGUUGCUACGAAAGGGCACUCUAAUGGGACUGCCGGUGACAAACCGGAGGAAGGUGGGGAUGACGUCAAGUCCUCAUGGCCCUUAUAGGUGGGGCUACACACGUCAUACAAUGGCUGGUACAAAGGGUUGCCAACCCGCGAGGGGGAGCUAAUCCCAUAAAGCCAGUCGUAGUCCGGAUCGCAGUCUGCAACUCGACUGCGUGAAGUCGGAAUCGCUAGUAAUCGUGGAUCAGCAUGUCACGGUGAAUACGUUCCCGGGUCUUGUACACACCGCCCGUCACACCAUGGGAGCGGGUCUCGCCAGAAGUAGGUAGCCUAACCGCAAGGAGGGCGCUUAACACGGCGGUGCUACUAGAGCGGCUGAUGGCAGAUUAGGUAGUUGGUGGGGUAAAGGCUUACCAAGCCUGCGAUCUGUAGCUGGUCUGAGAGGACGACCAGCCACACUGGGACUGAGACACGGCCCAGACUCCUACGGGAGGCAGCAGUGGGGAAUUUUGGACAAUGGGCGAAAGCCUGAUCCAGCAAUGCCGCGUGCAGGAUGAAGGCCCUCGGGUUGUAAACUGCUUUUGUACGGAACGAAAAGCCUGGGGCUAAUAUCCCCGGGUC
rnacentral:rRNA from 1 species